GGUAGCGAAGGGCUGGAGGCAAACACCGAGCUCCCCCUCAGCCGCCUGGGAGCAGGGAGGGUUCUGCUACCCUGAGGGGCCCUCCCCGCGGGGCAGAGGCUGCUAGAGUUUUUAAUGUGGAUUGAUGUUUUGCCUACAUGCCAAUCUGUGUGAGAAGACAUGUAUACCUGCAUAAGGGUGUCAGAUCCCCUGGAACUGGUGUUACAGACAGGGGGUUUCCUCAGCAGUGCCCCCGAGCAGAGACUGCGCCAGCCAGCAGAAACAGCUAGUUGUUGUCUGCAGUGAAGAAUAAUUGGAAGCAUGAUGCCUGUUUCUUUUCCUGUGGGAGGAACUCACAGCAUGUACUUCUGAAUGUACACUUGCCUUGAGGAACAACAACGUGACACAGGGAUGUGGACAUUUUCAACCAGAUGAUUCUAUAAGACAGUGUCGGCACACAAAUUACAGAUGAAGCUGAGUGGAGCUGCUAGGAUCCUGGAAAAGGUUCCAACUAUUCUAGCUGGCACUGUCACAGAAGCCUCCGAUUCUGCACAAAAUGAGGAUGGUGGCCAGUAGAGACUCCUGUCCUUCCAGCAUGAACCAUCAGCACCAUAAGGAGAGCAUGCUGAGUUCAGAGCCCAGAAUCUGAAGAUAAACACAAGAGGUGGACCAUCAGAGCACAUGUAGCACUGUAAAUUCAGUGAGAAAAGAGAGGGGAAGAAGAGGAGGGAGAGGGGGAGAAAGAGGAAGAAGAUGAGGAAGAGGAAGAAGAGGAGGAGGACGAUCCUGUUACUCCCCAGGACCCAGUCUCAAUGAAGUAUAACCCUGUAGGGUCCCUGAGGAAAGUAAGGAAGCUGAGUCACUUGGCUUAAGAACACUUUCAUUGGUCCAUACAAUAAGGGCAAAUUUGUGAGCUAUACUUAUAAGCCUGAGUAUCCACAUCUUGUCCAGAUGUCUUCCUAGAUCAUCUUUUUAUUCCUCUAACACACCACACCACAAAAGAAAUCCUGAGAUUAUUUCAUGCGGGUACCCGCCCUUAAACGAUAGUCCAGUGUUUACAACAACUACUUAAGUUGAGCCGCGUGUCUCCAAGUUUCCUAAAUACUAAAUCCUCCUUGGAGAAGAAUGUGGGACGUUCAGCAGCAUUUUCAAACCACUCGUUAUGGACACACAAAAAAUGCAGAUAGCAGAAGAAAAAGGCCCUGGAAGUCAAGUGCCCUGAGAACACAGCCAGACGCCCCACCCUCUACCCCACCCUUUCACUUUGC